GUCUAUGGCCAAAACACCCUGAACGCACUUGAUCUCGGAAGCUAAGCAGUGUCAGGUCUGGUUAGUACUUGGAUGAGAGACUGCCAGGGAAUACCGGGUGCUGUAGGCU
rnacentral:rRNA from 1 species